GUAGGGAAUCUUCCACAAUGGGCGAAAGCCUGAUGGAGCAACGCCGCGUGAGUGAAGAAGGAUUUCGGUUCGUAAAACUCUGUUGUAAGGGAAGAACAAGUACAGUAGUAACUGGCUGUACCUUGACGGUACCUUAUUAGAAAGCCACGGCUAACUACGUGCCAGCAGCCGCGGUAAUACGUAGGUGGCAAGCGUUGUCCGGAAUUAUUGGGCGUAAAGCGCGCGCAGGUGGUCCUUUAAGUCUGAUGUGAAAGCCCACGGCUCAACCGUGGAGGGUCAUUGGAAACUGGGGGACUUGAGUGCAGAAGAGGAUAGUGGAAUUCCAAGUGUAGCGGUGAAAUGCGUAGAGAUUUGGAGGAACACCAGUGGCGAAGGCGACUAUCUGGUCUGUAACUGACACUGAGGCGCGAAAGCGUGGGGAGCAAACAGG
rnacentral:rRNA from 1 species